rnacentral:rRNA from 2 species
GUGAUCGGUCUAAUCAUGCAAGUCGAGCGGAUCUUCAUUAGCUUGCUUUUGAAGAUCAGCGGCGGACGGGUGAGUAACACGUGGGCAACCUGCCUGUAAGACUGGGAUAACUUCGGGAAACCGGAGCUAAUACCGGAUAAUCCUUUUCCUCACAUGAGGGAAAGCUGAAAGACGGUUUCGGCUGUCACUUACAGAUGGGCCCGCGGCGCAUUAGCUAGUUGGUGAGGUAACGGCUCACCAAGGCAACGAUGCGUAGCCGACCUGAGAGGGUGAUCGGCCACACUGGGACUGAGACACGGCCCAGACUCCUACGGGAGGCAGCAGUAGGGAAUCUUCCGCAAUGGACGAAAGUCUGACGGAGCAACGCCGCGUGAGCGAUGAAGGCCUUCGGGUCGUAAAGCUCUGUUGUCAGGGAAGAACAAGUAUCGGAGUAACUGCCGGUACCUUGACGGUACCUGACCAGAAAGCCACGGCUAACUACGUGCCAGCAGCCGCGGUAAUACGUAGGUGGCAAGCGUUGUCCGGAAUUAUUGGGCGUAAAGCGCGCGCAGGCGGUUCCUUAAGUCUGAUGUGAAAGCCCCCGGCUCAACCGGGGAGGGUCAUUGGAAACUGGGGAACUUGAGUGCAGAAGAGGAGAGCGGAAUUCCACGUGUAGCGGUGAAAUGCGUAGAGAUGUGGAGGAACACCAGUGGCGAAGGCGGCUCUCUGGUCUGUAACUGACGCUGAGGCGCGAAAGCGUGGGGAGCGAACAGGAUUAGAUACCCUGGUAGUCCACGCCGUAAACGAUGAGUGCUAAGUGUUAGAGGGUUUCCGCCCUUUAGUGCUGCAGCAAACGCAUUAAGCACUCCGCCUGGGGAGUACGGCCGCAAGGCUGAAACUCAAAGGAAUUGACGGGGGCCCGCACAAGCGGUGGAGCAUGUGGUUUAAUUCGAAGCAACGCGAAGAACCUUACCAGGUCUUGACAUCCUCUGACACCCUAGAGAUAGGGCGUUCCCCUUCGGGGGACAGAGUGACAGGUGGUGCAUGGUUGUCGUC